rnacentral:lncRNA from 1 species
AUGUCAAUCAAAAACCUGUCAAAAAACGUCAAUCAGUCCGUGUGUCCAUCCAGGUGUGUCCGUGGCUCUGUCCAGGUCUGUCCGUGUGUCCGUCCGGGGCUGUCGCUGUCCUGGGGGGGUCUGUCCAUGGGUCUGGCCCUGCUGGACAUCUGUCCGUGUGUCUGUGCUGUGUGUCCGUGUGUCUGUGUGUCCAUCCGUCCGUGUGUCCAUCUGUCCGUGUGUCUGCGCCGUGUGUCUGUGUGUCUAUCUGUCCAUGUGUCCAUGUGUCCAUCCCAUCUGUCCGUGUGUCCGUGUGUCUGUGUGUCCAUCUGUCCGUGUGUCCAUGUGUCCAUCCCAUCUGUCCGUGUGUCUGUUCCGACCGUCUGUCUGUCCAUCCCGUGUGUCCGUGUGUCCGCCCUGUGUCCAUCUGUCCACGUGUCUGUGCCCAUGUGUCCGUGUGUCCGUCCCGUGUCCGUGUGUCCGUACCGCGUCCAUCUAUCCGUGCGUCUGCGCCGUGUGUCUGUGUGUCCGUGUGUCCAUCUGUCCGUGUGUCCGUCCUGUCUGUCCAUCCCGUGUGUCCGUGUGUCCGCCCUGUGUCCAUCUGUCCACGCGUCUGUGCUGUGUGCCCGUGUGUCCGUGUGUCCGUCACAUGUCCGUGUGUCCGUGCUGUGUGUCCGUGUGUCCGUCACAGGUCUGUGUGUCUGUCACGUGUCCGUGUGUCCGUGUGUCCAUCGGUUCGUGUGUCUGUCUGUCCAUCCCGUGUCCGUCUGUCCAUCCGUCAUUUCCAGAAGAGCACGUUCCAGAGCAGCAGCCAGCAGGGGUGGGCGCCCAGGGUGAGGAGGGGGCUCAGGUGGGUUCAGGUGGGCUCAGGUGGG